rnacentral:rRNA from 1 species
UACGUGGGGGGCAAGCGUUGUUCGGAAUUACUGGGCGUAAAGGGCUCGUAGGUGGCCAACUAAGUCAGACGUGAAAUCCCUCGGCUUAACCGGGGAACUGCGUCUGAUACUGGAUGGCUUGAGUUCGGGAGAGGGAUGCGGAAUUCCAGGUGUAGCGGUGAAAUGCGUAGAUAUCUGGAGGAACACCGGUGGCGAAGGCGGCAUCCUGGACCGGCAUUGACGCUGAGGCGCGAAAGCCAGGGGAGCAAACGGG